rnacentral:rRNA from 1 species
GACGCACGCUGGCGGCGUGCCUAAUACAUGCAAGUCGAACGAGUGGCGGACGGGUGAGUAAUGUCUGGGAAACUGCCUGAUGGAGGGGGAUAACUACUGGAAACGGUAGCUAAUACCGCAUACCAUCAGAUGUGCCCAGAUGGGAUUAGCUAGUGGGUGGGGUAACGGCUCACCAAGGCGACGAUCCCUAGCUGGUCUGAGAGGAUGACCAGCCACACUGGAACUGAGACACGGUCCAGACUCCUACGGGAGGCAGCAGUGGGGAAUAGUGCACAAUGGGCGAAAGCCUAAGGCAGCCAUGACGCGUGUAUGAAGAAGGCCUUCGGGUUGUAAAGUAGUUUCAGCGGGGAGGCGUUACCCGCAGAAGAAGCACCGGCUAACUCCGUGCCAGCCGCCGCGGUAAUUC